UGAAGAUUUAGCGGUAUUUUUGUUUUUUUCCUGUAACUUUUUUGUCGCAAUGUUUUUCUUCCCUUUUUUCAAUAUAAAGCAUUCUUACUAAUUGUUUGACGUUUUUCUUUUUGUUUUGGUGUCAGCAGAACAUCCCAUGCAACUCGAGGGGUUUGACUUGGUGUUAGUAGACCAUCCCAUGCAACGACCCCGGGCUCGACUCGAGGACGGGGGGUAGUUGCAAGUCAACCCUCGACUUGCAACUGCUGCCUUUUUUCCUUUUAAUACGAGUCUAAAUCGUUGUGAAGAUAGUGGUAAGCUGUUUUUGAAUGUUUUUUUGUGGAUGCAUGCCUAGGUAGGCUGACAACGGUAGUAGGCACAUGUUGGUGAUUUCUCAUAUAAUCCACAAAAAGUAUCAGUUUGUUAGAUUUGAAUCUUCCCUAUUUUCUAAUGGUGCAUUUUCUGAUGUACUAGAGUGAUGUGUUUUGUGCAAGUUUGCGUGCCUAGAAUACAAAACUGCCUGCUAUUCAAGUGUCUCUAGAUCUGGUACAGCCAAAACAAGCAAGUGCUGAACUUUCUGUGCCUAGAAUAUAAACGUGUCUGGACUAUUUUUUCUAGUUACUAGUUAUAUUGUAUCUACUAAUGGCCUCAAGUACAGUAGAGGGGUUAGUAUUCCUGGUGGUAGUCAGAGUCAGCCAGGGGGAAACAGGAUAAGCAGAGUACAGUAAGUCAGGCAAGGGAGGCCACUUAGGUUCAGUGUAGUGUUGAAGUAGGCGAGUAUAUGUAUGCGUUGACGUAGGUUGAGUGUACUGUGUUGUCUGUAGUUCAUGAAGUUUUCAGUGUUGUUGUUUGAUGUAGUUCUAGAAGGCUUUUCAGUGUCGUGGUUUUUUUGUACAAAAAUAUGCUUGUAGUUCAUGCCAUGAGACUAGCCAGUAUUUUUGCAUCUGUCUUUUGUGUGUGAGCUGCUUGCUUGCUGUAAUAUUUCUUCCAUACUACAGGUCUAAAAUUUUGAUUAUCUGAGAGGAUCAACUUCAGUUUUGAAAUUAAGCAAUUCGUUUUGCCGACAGUUCUGCCAUAGUCUUUUUUUAGUGUUCAACCAGCAGAUUUACAUGUUGUUUUGAUGUAUGUUCUUGAUUUUUCUGCCGCUCAUGCUUCAUUUAUAAAUGGUUCUAUUUUUUCAUUUUUUGGGUCUUUUUUCUGACUGUUUUGAAAUAGGAUAAGUGGAGUUGUUUAUAUAGUUCUAGCAGAUUUUUUGCUGAUACUAUAGUUUUUUAUUAAAAAAAUCAGUGUAGUAAUCUGCACACAAGCAUGUUGUAUUUCUUUUAUAGUUGUUGGUCGAAUUCACUUUUUAAUUGUAGUGUUUUGAUGGUAAGGGAUGGUAGCAUCCCCCCAGGAGUAUAAUUUUAUUUUUUAUGUUUAAUUGGGACAAUUGUAUUAUGACACCAUAGUUUUUUUCUUUUUUUGCUUGACCAGGAACCUUCGCCCGGUUUGCUUUUCGCAUUGUCAGAGUGACAAUGGUCAGAGCUUCGACAUGUAUGUUCGCGAUGCUGACGAAACCUUCAUAGUAAAGUUUCUGCCAUGUUUUUUGUCCUUUUGCCCCUAGUGUUAUAAUCAUUUUUUGGUUUGUUUUUUAAUUUUCUUUUACAUGUCUUCGCGAUUGCUUUUUUUUUUCUAGAUGUUAAAGAUGGUAUGCACAAUUGAAUACUAGUUGUGUAAUACACUCCUAGCUUCUGCUUAUAUUUUUUGUACCUUGUUUGUUUGUUACUAAUCUCUAGUUUCUAGUUUCUAGUUGCUAGUUUUCGACAGUUUUGCCAUAAGUACUUUUGACAGUUUUCCAUAGUUAGUAGUUACUGGUUUCAACAGUAUCAUUAGUGUAAGCAUCAGUAUGAGCACCAUCAGUUACAGU
rnacentral:lncRNA from 1 species